GUAGGCGUGUAUUGGCAUGUUGGAUCCCUGCUUGGGCAGCGACGACAUACCAGGCAAGCCUCUUCAUUCCUCGGCUCAAGUGCUUGUUUGCCUUGGCCGGCGUCCGCUGUCUUGUGUUGAAUACCCACGACGAGGGAACACGGUUGGCUAAACACGUCCCGAUUCCGCCUUGUGCUGCGCCCCUCGGGGCCGCGGCGCGGGGUGGACCUCAAAGCAUUCUCCGUGCGCCACCUCCCRCGCAAGUGCCUCCGCACGUGCUCGGGUCGUUGGCUCGUGGAGUCUCGCUCGAUCUCUCGGAUGCGGAACAGUGAGUGGGCACGAGGCCCCCGGCCUCUAUUUGCCCCGAAAACAAGCGUUCGGCGCUUCGUGCGAACGACUGUCGUUUUCGUUUUGAUCGGGUCCUCGCGGCUCGGCUCAUGCGAAACCGGCGUCGAUGAGGAAUGCUAC
rnacentral:misc_RNA from 1 species